CAUCCUGCUGACCUGACCUAACGAUUUCAACAAGAUGUUAUUGGUCAGCUCUAGGCGUGGAUCAGAAAAAACACGGACUAUUCCACCCUUAUGUUCAAAUGAGAACCACUGAACUCGAGGACUAUUUACGGUUCGACAUCCUUUCAAGAGGACUGUUAGUUAGCUAUUAUGUACGAUAGAGUAUGGCCUGUGAAGAGUAAGGCUGUCAGCAAACUGGGAAACCAGUACGUACCAGGUAGGUACGAGGUUGUGCCGGUACAUCCAUUUAUGGAUACAGUACGAAGCGGGCGGUACAUCUACAGUGUCGUCGGAAGACGUAAUAUAAGCACGCAAAUGUUGUAAAGGUCGUUUCUUCGUUCUUCAUUCGACAUGUU
rnacentral:misc_RNA from 1 species